GACAGCAGCUUGGGAUCAAAAGGCUUCCUAAACAACUCUGUGAUGAAGUUGUGGAAAAGUAUACAUCAGGUGAGGGAUAUAAAAAGAUUUCCAAGGGUUUGAAGAUACCAAGUGCAAGUCCAUCAUUAAGAAGUGGGAAGUGCAUGGCACCACCCACAGUCUGCCAAUAUCUGGGCAUCUAUCAAAACUAGAUGACUGGUAGAGAAGACACUUGGUCAGAGAGGUCACAAGGAACCCAACAGUGACCUUGAAAGACCUAAAGGGUUUCAUGGCCAACAGAGGAAAACGUGCAUCACACAACAAUAUCAAAUAUUACACAUAUCUGACCUGUAUAGGAGGCAACAUAGGAGGAGGAUCCUGCAACAAACUGGAAGAAGGUUUUGCGACCAGAUGAAAAUUUUUGGCGUGAAUGUUUGCCAAAACUUAAUACAGCCCAUUACCAAAACAACACCAUCCUGACUGUAAAGCAUGGAGGCAAAACAAUAAUGUUUUGCAGAGGUUUCUCAGCUGCAGGGAAUGGGGUAAAGUGAGGGGAGGGGAGGAUGGAUGGAGCCAAGUACAGGGAGAUUCUGAAGAAGAACCUGGUGAAAUCAUCUGCAAAACAUAUGAAAAUGGGCUGAAAAUUCAUAAUCCAGCAGGUCAAGCAUAAGGCCAAAGCUACGACAGAAUGGUUUGCUUGGAGCAAGGUGGAAGUUCUGGAGUGGUCAGAACCCUGACCUAAAUCCCAUUGAAAAUCUAUGGAAUGACAUGAAGGUUGCUGUCCAUCAGUGAAAACCAACCAACCUCUCCCAGUUUGAAUAGUUCUGCAGAACAAAUUGGGGGAAGAUUUCCAAAUUCUGGUGAGCCAACCUUGUGGGGAGCUACCCGAAAAAAGUGGUAGCUGUAGUUGCUACCCAAAGGUGCUGCUAGCAAAUGACUCUGGGGGGUGUAUACUUGAGAAAUUAGGAAAUUUCAGUUCUAUCCAUUAAAUUAUCUCUCUUUUAAAAUGAAAAUUAUUUCACUGCAUUUAUGUGGUAUGUGGAUCAGGGAAAAGAAGUCCCAUUUAUAUCCAUGAAGUUUACUGAAUCUGACACAACUAAAUGUAAAAACUUUAAAUGGGGGUGCAUUCCGUUUAAAAAAAAAAAAUAAAUAAAAAAAAUACAAUGAUACAAGUAUUUGUAAAUUUUAAUUUUUUUAUCACUGAGGGAUUAUGUCAUUUCAUAGCAUUUUUAUACUUCUGUAGUAAAUUGCAUUUUAUUUACUGCACCAUUUAUUUUGAUUGCAUUUUAUUUGAUUCAAUGUUCAAUUUAAUUGCAGUUUAAUUGAUUCAGUAUUUAUUUAAUAAUAAUAAAUACAGCAGAUCCAGAUGCAGUGGAGCUUUCGCUGAAGAUUUAUUGUCACCAAGCACAUUUGUCUGUGUUCGAAUGCAGAGACAAACAUGUGUGCCUUGUUAGGAUGUCCUCUGAUUUCCUGUAAACAGGCUCCACUGUGCAUUGUGGAGCUGUCAGUAAAUGGUUUGUUCCAUGUCUGUCCAAAGAGCCCAGACUCUUCCAGAAAAAGCAAAAAUUUAACAAUAAUGAUUAAAAGAUUGUGUAAGCUUGAUAUUGUGCAUUUAUGCAAAGAAAAAAAAGAAGAAAUGCUUUAUUAUUUCUUAUAUUCCACAGCUGGUGACCUUUAUCAAUAAACUGUUCCAACAUUAUUAUGUUUAUGUAAAUGUGCCAUAUUCACAUGAAGAGUGGAAAAACACCACUUUCACCAUAACAAAAGAACCGUUAAGCCCAAAUAACGUAUUAUAUUUAUUAUGGUCUUAACCAGAGUGAUAAGUUCUUAUACCCUGGUGGCCAUCAGAAUGGCUGCUUCUCUUAUCAGGUGUGCACUUAAGUGGAAUUAAAGGGGGCCUGGUUAAGAACGCAUUCAUCCGUGAGUUUAAU